rnacentral:rRNA from 1 species
UACGAAGGGGGCUAGCGUUGUUCGGAAUUACUGGGCGUAAAGCGCACGUAGGCGGACAUUUAAGUUGGAGGUGAAAGCCUUGGGCUCAACCCAAGAAUUGCCUUUGAUACUGGAUGUCUCGAGACCGGGAGAGGUGAGUGGAAUUCCGAGUGUAGAGGUGAAAUUCGUAGAUAUUCGGAAGAACACCAGUGGCGAAGGCGGCUCACUGGCCCGGUUCUGACGCUGAGGUGCGAAAGCGUGGGGAGCGAACAGG